GAUGACCCCAGCUUGCGGGGGGAUUAGUGGCGAACGGGUGAGUAACACGUGAGUACCUGCCCUUGAUCUGGGAUAACCUGGGAAACUGGGUCUAAUACCGGAUAUGACUCCUCAUCGCAUGGUGGGGGGGGAAAGCUUUUGCGGUUUUGGAUGGACUCCGGCCUAUCAGCUUGUUGGUGAGGUAAUGGCUUACCAAGGCGACACGGGAGCCGGCCUGAAGGGGACCGGCCACACUGGGACUGAACCGGCCCAGACUCCUACGGGAGGCACAGUGGGGAAUAUUGCACAAUGGGCGCAAGCCUGAUGCACGACGCCGCGUGAGGGAUGACGGCCUUCGGUUGUAAACCUCUUUCAGUAGGAAGAAGCGAAAGUGACGGUACCUGCAAAAACGCCGGCUAACUACGUGCCACACCGCGGUAAUACGUAGGCGCAGCGUUAUCCGGAAUUAUUGGGCGUAAAGAGCUCGUAGGCGGUUUGUCCGUCUGCCGUGAAAGUCCGGGGCUCAACUCCGGAUCUGCGGUGGGUACGGGCAGACUAAGUGAUGUAGGGAGACUGGAAUUCCUGGUGUAGCGGUGAAAUGCGCAAUAUCAGAGAACACCGAUGGCAAGCAGGUCUCUGGCAUUAACUGACGCUGAGACGAACAUGGGAGCGAAAGAUUAGAUACCCUGGUAUCCAUGCCUAAACGUUGGACUAGUGUGGGGACAUUCCACGUUUUCCCGCCUAGCUAAGCAUUAUGCCC
rnacentral:rRNA from 1 species